ACAUUCCAGGAAUGUACUACCAAAGUUCUAUCAAUAUUUGAAUGUCCUGGACAUUUAGGGAACAUUCGGUGAACAUCUGAUUAAAUUAUUCGUGGAAUGUUACCAUAAGACAUUCUGUGAACAUACUACCAAUGUUCCUGUUCAUUUUCAAAUUCACGGCGCAUGUAUUUGUGCAUGGUGUUUAGAGAGGGCAUCACGUGACUAAAAACGACCAAUGACCUCACUUCAGACUUCGGUUCGGCCAUCUUGACAUGCAUCUUGCCUUGGCCACCUUGCCGUGCGUGAUCGUUGUUUGUUUUUAUUUGUGCUUUUUAAGAAUAUUUUUUAAUUCGGAUACUUUUAUAAUAACUUUAAUAGUAUUAUUAAUAUAGUGCAUAAAAUCAGUUGGAGUAGCAGAAGCAAUGUAGAUAAAAAAUCUGCAGGAAUAAUGUUUCAAAGGUUAGUAUAUUAUGCAAAUAUGUAAACAAAGGCAUGCCCCUAUUUCAGAAAAUAUCCAUUUAUUAUUUUAAUAAUUGCGAAUAAGCCACAAACUUGCUUAUUCCUAAUUAAAAUAGUAAAUAGAGAUAAUAACAAACGGAUUAUUUGUAAAAUUAAAUUUUUUUUUGCGUUUUUGCUAAUGUAUGCGUUUAUAAACAGGAUGGUAGACCACACACUAUAAUAGUACCAACUAAUGAAUACACAGUAUGAAUAGUACAGUCGGUUCGCUAAACUUAGUCUCAGACACAACUGGCUAGUGAUUUUAGUAAAUAAUUUUGACAAUUUGGUAAAAUUGGCAAAAAAAUAACUAAAUAGUAAUUUUGGCAAAAAUGGCCAAAAACAAAAAAAUUACCUACUAAAAUCACUAGCCAGUUGUGGCUAGGGAAACGACUAUACUAAUAAACAAUUUCUAAGCUGCUUUUUAUAAUAUUUUCUUUCCAGAAGAUCCUGCGAAGAAGGCAUGAAGUAUUGAUCAGAUUUGUUAAUAGAGCAGUAUGUUCAAAACAUUUUUUAGAAAAAGAUAUUGACAGAACUUCACUUUCAACCGUUUGAGAGACUGUGCUGUUCCAAUAGCUUAUAUCACACAGAAUCAGCUGAGAGAAGUGGUCUACAAAAAACCAGGAAGGAAAUGGAAUAUGUGGCUAUGAAAGGCAAAAGAAAGGUUUACAAAGCAAAUGUGACACAUUUUUUUAUAGGAAUAUCAGUAAAUUACAUUAAAAAAAUGUAUGAAAAGAUUUUUUGCAAUAAAAAUGUUUAUAUUUAUCAAGCAUGCAUUAUUUGGUAUGGCCACAUAUCGUCAGUGAUGUGACAAUACCUCCUAUCUGUUUUUUCAUGAGAUUUGUAAGAUAGACUAAAAACUUGUUUGGGCCACCUCCUGUUUUCAUAUAUUUUUUGACUUGUUUUGCAGUAAAUUUAACUAUCUAUUUACUACAAAACAAGCCAGAACUUACGUAUGCAAACAGGAGGUGACCUUAAAAAAUGUUUUUCGUCUCCUGCAAA